GAUGAACGCUGGCGGCGUGCCUAAUACAUGCAAGUCGAGCGAACAGACGAGGAGCUUGCUCCUCUGACGUUAGCGGCGGACGGGUGAGUAACACGUGGAUAACCUACCUAUAAGACUGGGAUAACUUCGGGAAACCGGAGCUAAUACCGGAUAAUAUAUUGAACCGCAUGGUUCAAUAGUGAAAGACGGUUUUGCUGUCACUUAUAGAUGGAUCCGCGCCGCAUUAGCUAGUUGGUAAGGUAACGGCUUACCAAGGCAACGAUGCGUAGCCGACCUGAGAGGGGGAUCGGCCACACUGGAACUGAGACACGGUCCAGACUCCUAAGGGAGGCAGCAGUAGGGAAUCUUUCGCAAUGGGCGAAAGCCUGACGGAGCAACGCCGCGUGAGUGAUGAAGGUCUUCGGAUCGUAAAACUCUGUUAUUAGGGAAGAACAAAUGUGUAAGUAACUAUGCACGUCUUGACGGUACCUAAUCAGAAAGCCACGGCUAACUACGUG
rnacentral:rRNA from 1 species